GAUGAACGCUGGCGGCGUGCUUAACACAUGCAAGUCGAACGAUGAAGCCCAGCUUGCUGGGUGGAUUAGUGGCGAACGGGUGAGUAACACGUGAGUAACCUGCCCUUAACUCUGGGAUAAGCCUGGGAAACUGGGUCUAAUACCGGAUAGGAGCGCCUACCGCAUGGUGGGUGUUGGAAAGAUUUAUCGGUUUUGGAUGGACUCGCGGCCUAUCAGCUUGUUGGUGAGGUAAUGGCUCACCAAGGCGACGACGGGUAGCCGGCCUGAGAGGGUGACCGGCCACACUGGGACUGAGACACGGCCCAGACUCCUACGGGAGGCAGGAGUGGGGAAUAUUGCACAAUGGGCGAAAGCCUGAUGCAGCGACGCCGCGUGAGGGAUGACGGCCUUCGGGUUGUAAACCUCUUUCAGUAGGGAAGAAGCGAAAGUGACGGUACCUGCAGAAGAAGCACCGGCUAACUACGUG
rnacentral:rRNA from 1 species